CAAAGUGCUGCGUCUCUUCGCUGCCUCGCGAACAAGCAAUUGGCUGCCUUUGUUCGCUGCCUCGCGAACAAGCAAACCGCUGCGUCUAUUCGCCGACUCACAAAAAAGCAAACCAUGGCAGCUCUUCCCUACCUCGCAAACAAGCAAACCACUGUAUUUGUUUGCUGCCUCGCAAACUAACUAACCACCUCGGCGUCUGUUCGCUGCCUCGCACACUAACUUACAACUGCGUCUGUUCGCUGCCUCGCAAAAUAAGGAACCGCUGUGUCUCUUCCCCUCCUCGCAAACAAGCGAACUGCUGUGGCUCUUUGCUUCCGCGUGCUAAAGCAAACCGCGGCGCCGCUACGCCACCUCGCGAACUAAUCAAAGACUGCAUCUCUUCGCUGCCUCGCAGACAAGCAAACCGUUGCUUCUCUUUGCCACCUCGUGCACUAAGUAACCACUGCGUCUGUUUGAUGCCUGGCACAAUAAGUAACUGCUGCAUCUCUUUGCUGCCUGGCGAAAAAACACACUGCUGCGUCUGUUCGCUGCCUCGCAAGCACAUUAACCGCUCCAUGUGUUCGCUGCCUUGCAAAAUAGCAAACAGCUGCGUCUCUUCACCUCCUCAAAAACAAGCAGACCGCUGCAUCUCUUCGCUGCCUCAUGAACAAUCAAACCGCUCUAUCUGUUCGCUGCCUCGCACAAAAGCAAACCACGGUGCCUCUUCGCUACCUCGCAAGCUAACUAACAGCUGCGUGUGCUCACUGCCCUGCAAACUAGCCAAGUGCUGCAUAUGUUCGCUUCUGCGCGAAAAAUCAGAUCACGAUGUUGCUAAGUCACCUUGCGGACAAGCAAAGUGCUGCAUCUCUUCGCUGCCUCAUGAACUAACUAACCGCUGCAUCUGUUCACUGCCUCGCAAACAAGCAGAUCGCUGCGUCUGUUUGCUGUCUUGCAAACUAGCAAAGUACUGCGUCUGUUCACUUCCAAGUGAAAAAGCAAACUGUGGGGCUGCUAUGCCACCUUGCAAACUAGAAAACCAAUGCGUCUGUUUGCUGCCUCGCAACCUAACUAAUCCCUGCGUCUGUUCGCGUCCGCUCCAAAAGCAAACCGCGAUGCUGCUACGCCACCUCGUGGACAAGCAAAGUGCUACAUCUCUUCGCUGCCUCGCGAACAAACUAACCGCUGCAUGUGUUCAAUUCCUCACAAAAUAGCAAACAGCAGCGUCUCUUCCCCUCCUUGACAACAAGGAGACCGCUGUGCCUGUUCAAUUCUGCACAAAAAAGCAAGCCGCAGCGCCUCCUCGGAACCUCGCAAACUAACCGCUGCAUCUAUUCUAUGCCUCUCAAGCAAGCAAUCCACUGCAUGUGUUUGCUGCCUCACGGACAAGCAAACCACAGCGUCUCUUUGCUGCUUCAAAAACGAGCAGACCGCUGCACCUGUUCGAUUCUGCGCAAACAAGCAAGCCAUAGUGCCUCUUCGCAACCUCACAAACUAACUAACCGCUGCGUCUAUUCGACAUUUCACUAACAAGCAAUCGACUGCGUCUGUUCGCUGCUUCGCGAACAAGCAAACUGCGGUGCCUCUUCACUGCCUCGCGAACAAGCAAACCGCUGCGUCUCUUGGAUGCCUCGCGAACAAGCAAACUGCUGUGUCUGUUCACUGCCUCACAAACAAGCAAACUGCUGCAUCUCUUUGCUUCUGCAUGAUAAAGAAAACUGCAGCGCCGCUAUGCCACCUCACAAACAAACAAACAGCUGCGUCUGUUCGAUGCCUGGCAAAGUAAGUAACUGCUGCAUCUCUUCCCACCUCGUGAACAAGCAGUCCGCUGCAUCUAUUAGAUGAGUUGCAAACAAGCAAUCCCCAGAAUCUAUUCACCAUUUCGUGAACAAGCAAACUGCAGCACCUCUUCACUGCCUCGCAAACGAAUUAACCGCUGCAUCUGUUCGCCGCCUCGCAAACAAGCAAACCUAUGGGUCUGUUCGCUGCCUUGCAAGCUAACUAACAGCUGCAUGUGUUCACUGCCUCGCAAAAUAGCAAACCGCUGCACCUCUUUGCUUCUGUGUGGUAAAGCAAAAUGCGGCGCCGCUACGUCACCUCGCAAACAAGCAAACCGCUGCAUCUCUUCACUGCGUCACAAACUAACCACUGCAUUUCUUCCCCUCCUCACAAACUAGCAAAGUGCUGCAUCUGUUCACUGCCUCGCAAACAAGC
ensembl:lncRNA